GGAACAAUGUAGGCAAGGGAAGUCGGUAAAAUGGAUCCGUAACUUCGGGAAAAGGAUUGGCUCUGAGGGCUGGGCACGGGGGUCCCGACCCCGAACCCGUCGGUUGUCAGCGAACUACUCGAGAUGCUCUCGCGGCGAGAGCGGGUCGCCGCAUGCCAGCCGGGGGAUGGACCGGGAACGGCCCCCUCGGGGGCCUUCCCAAUCCUAACUUAAUUUAUGUUCUAACUAUGAUUAAGGCAAGCAAUUUGUCUAGUAUGUUGAUUUUUCUUUCGGCAAACC
rnacentral:rRNA from 15 species